GAAAAGGAGCAAUCCGCUUUGAGAUGGCCUCGCGUCCGAUUAGCUAGUUGGUGAGGUAACGGCCCACCAAGGCAACGAUCGGUAGCCGGACUGAGAGGUUGAACGGCCACAUUGGGACUGAGACACGGCCCAGACUCCUACGGGAGGCAGCAGUGGGGAAUAUUGCACAAUGGGGGAAACCCUGAUGCAGCGACGCCGCGUGGAGGAAGAAGGUCUUCGGAUUGUAAACUCCUGUUGUUGAGGAAGAUAAUGACGGUACUCAACAAGGAAGUGACGGCUAACUACGUGCCAGCAGCCGCGGUAAAACGUAGGUCACAAGCGUUGUCCGGAAUUACUGGGUGUAAAGGGAGCGCAGGCGGGAAGACAAGUUGGAAGUGAAAUCCAUGGGCUCAACCCAUGAACUGCUUUCAAAACUGUUUUUCUUGAGUAGUGCAGAGGUAGGCGGAAUUCCCGGUGUAGCGGUGGAAUGCGUAGAUAUCGGGAGGAACACCAGUGGCGAAGGCGGCCUACUGGGCACCAACUGACGCUGAGGCUCGAAAGUGUGGGUAGCAAACAGGAUUAGAUACCCUGGUAGUCCACACUGUAAACGAUGAUUACUAGGUGUUGGAGGAUUGACCCCUUCAGUGCC
rnacentral:rRNA from 1 species